AACAUGUUCCGCCGCUCCUUUUCUUUUCUCUUCCCGAUCACGUCCUUGUCCAUCUUUUUCUCCCCUCUCUGUCUCUCUUCCUUUCUUUCUGUGCCACUACGGGAGAGCGAUCGUGUCGUGGUGUCACUGGGAUAACAGGGUGUGCGGAGAGAUCAUGUUCUCGAUGAUUGCGCUCGGGGAAUAUUGAAUUCCUGAAUUGGGCAAGCGGAUUGGCCUUUCUCGCAAAGCUCCGUCAAAGCAGCAACGCCCGUUGGACUGGAUUCUCUUCCCCCCCCCCUCUCUGUCUCUCUCUGUCAUUACUUUUCCCCUGUGUCGCGGUCUCUUUCCCACCGAUUUUUUUUUCUCUUUUUCCCGGGGAAAUAUCUAAAAAAUUUCCCGAGAAAGGAACGCUUUUGCUGACGCUGUACCUACUCAAUUAUGAUGCUUUUUGUGCCGAUCGCAGGGGCUUUGAGAUAAGGAGGCUGGUGCUCCGCUUUUUUGGCCAUUUGAAUGGGGCAUGGGGCGAUUGGUUGCCAUGCCAACAAAGUGCUGGGUCAGUUCCCUUCCGGGAGGGCAAAUUGUGUACGGAUUAGGGUUUCUAGUGGGAAACAUAAGAUUCUCCUGUUACUAUUCGCCCCGGUGACUGAAAUUAAUGCCUCGUCAAUAGUAUCGGGGUCUAUCGGGAAACUGAUACGUUUACUUCGC
rnacentral:lncRNA from 1 species